rnacentral:rRNA from 1 species
AGAGUUUUUUCCUGGCUCAGGAUGAACGCUGGCGGCGUGCUUAACACAUGCAAGUCGAACGAAGCACUACCGACGGAACUUUUCGGAGGGAAGAUGGUAAUGACUGAGUGGCGGACGGGUGAGUAACGCGUGGGCAACCUGCCCCAUAGAGGGGGACAACAGCUGGAAACGGCUGCUAAUACCGCAUAACAAGGAGAGAGCGCAUGUUCUUUUCUUCAAAGAUUUAUCGCUAUGGGAUGGACCCGCGUCUGAUUAGCUGGUUGGUGAGGUAACGGCUCACCAAGGCGACGAUCAGUAGCCGGCUUGAGAGAGUGGACGGCCACAUUGGGACUGAGAAACGGCCCAGACUCCUACGGGAGGCAGCAGUGGGGAAUAUUGCACAAUGGGGGAAACCCUGAUGCAGCGACGCCGCGUGAGUGAAGAAGUAUUUCGGUAUGUAAAGCUCUAUCAGCAGGGAAGAUAAUGACGGUACCUGACUAAGAAGCCCCGGCUAACUACGUGCCAGCAGCCGCGGUAAUACGUAGGGGGCAAGCGUUAUCCGGAUUUACUGGGUGUAAAGGGAGCGUAGGUGGCAGGGCAAGUCAGAUGUGAAAACCCGGGGCUCAACCCCGGGAGUGCAUUUGAAACUGUCCAGCUGGAGUGCAGGAGAGGUAAGCGGAAUUCCUAGUGUAGCGGUGAAAUGCAUAGAUAUUAGGAGGAACACCAGUGGCGAAGGCGGCUUACUGGACUGUAACUGACACUGAGGCUCGAAAGCGUGGGGAGCAAACAGGAUUAGAUACCCUGGUAGUCCACGCCGUAAACG